rnacentral:rRNA from 1 species
GAUGAACGCUGGCGGCGUGCCUAAUACAUGCAAGUCGAGCGAACAGAUGAGGAGCUUGCUCCUCUGACGUUAGCGGCGGACGGGUGAGUAACACGUGGAUAACCUACCUAUAAGACUGGGAUAACUUCGGGAAACCGGAGCUAAUACCGGAUAAUAUAUUGAACCGCAUGGUUCAAUAGUGAAAGACGGUUUUGCUGUCACUUAUGGAUGGAUGCGCGCCGCAUUAUCUAGUUGGUAGGGUAAGGGCUUACCAAGGCAACGAUGCGUAGCCGACCGUAGAGGUGGACCGGCCACAUGGGGACUGCGGGACGGCCCAGAAGGCUAAGGGAGGCAGCAGUGUGGAAUAUUGCACAAUGGGAGGAAGCCUGAUGCAGCAACGCUGGGUACGGGAUGACGGCCUUAGGGUUGUAAACCGAUUUCGCCUGUGACGAAGCGUGAGUGACGGUAAUGGGUAAAGAAGCACCGGCUAACUACGUG